UGACGGUUCUUUUUGGUAAGAUUAAAAGGGAAUCUUGUGAAAAUCAAGAACUAAACCCGUAGCUGUAAGCACCAAAAGUUUGAGAACAUUCUAAAUGUGCCACUGUUUGAAAGAAUGGGAAGGCGGUUCUCGAAUGGUGUAAGUCAGAAGACCUGCCGUUUUUGCU
rnacentral:ncRNA from 1 species